rnacentral:rRNA from 1 species
GAUGAACGCUGGCGGCGUGCCUAAUACAUGCAAGUCGAGCGAACAGACGAGGAGCUUGCUCCUCUGACGUUAGCGGCGGACGGGUGAGUAACACGUGGAUAACCUACCUAUAAGACUGGGAUAACUUCGGGAAACCGGAGCUAAUACCGGAUAAUAUAUUGAACCGCAUGGUUCAAUAGUGAAAGACGGUUUUGCUGUCACUUAUAGAUGGAUCCGCGCCGCAUUAGCUAGUUGGUAAGGUAACGGCUUACCAAGGCAACGAUGCGUAGCCGACCUGAGAGGGCGAUCGGCCACACUGGAACUGAGACACGGUCCAGACUCCUACGGGAGGCAGCAGUAGGGAAUCUGCCGCAAUGGGCGAAAGCCUGACGGAGCAACGCCGCGUGAGUGAUGAAGGUCUUCGGAUCGUAAAACUCUGUUAUUAGGGAAGAACAAAUGUGUAAGUAACUAUGCACGUCUUGACGGUACCUAAUCAGAAAGCCACGGCUAACUACGUG